UGCAUGUUAGUGUGCUGCGGGCGCGGUAAUACUUAGGGGGCGAUGGUUUGCCUGGAUUAGUGGUCUUAGAUGGCUCUUAGGCGGGUGGUCGCGACGGGAGUGAAAACUUAGGGCUGAAGCCGGAGCGUGCUUGCGGUACGGGCUGACUAGAGGUAUGCAGGGGAGAACGGAAUUCCUGGUGUAGCGGUGGAAUGCGCAGAUAUCAGGAGGAACACCGGUGGCGAAGGCGGUUCUCUGGGCAUUACCUGACGCUGAGGAGCGAAAGCAUGGGGAGCGAACAGGAUUAGAUACCCGGGUAGUC
rnacentral:rRNA from 1 species